rnacentral:rRNA from 1 species
GACGAACGCUGGCGGCGCGCCUAACACAUGCAAGUCGAACGAGCGAGAGAGAGCUUGUUUUCUCGAGCGAGUGGCGAACGGGUGAGUAACGCGUGAGGAACCUGCCUCAAAGAGGGGGACAACAGUUGGAAACGACUGCUAAUACCGCAUAAGCCCACGCCUCGGCAUCGAGCUGGGGGAAAAGGAGCCAUCCGCUUUGAGAUGGCCUCGCUUCCGAUUAGCUAGUUGGUGGGGUAACCGACCACCAAUGCGACGAUAGGUAGCCGGACUGAGAGGCGUGACGGACACAUACGGACUGAGGCACAGCACAGACUCCUACGGGAUGCAGGAGUGGGGAAUAUUGCACAAUGGGGGAAACCCUGAAGAAGCACGACCGCGUAGAGGAAGAAGGUCUUCGGAUAGUAAACUCAUGUUGUUGGGGCAGAUCAUGACGGUACCAAACAAGGAAGAGACGGCUAACUACGUG